rnacentral:rRNA from 1 species
UACGUAGGGCGCAAGCGUUGUCCGGAAUUAUUGGGCGUAAAGAGCUCGUAGGCGGUCUGUUGCGUCCGCUGUGAAAACUCGGGGCUUAACCCCGAGCCUGCAGUGGAUACGGGCAGACUAGAGGUAGGUAGGGGAGAAUGGAAUUCCCGGUGUAGCGGUGAAAUGCGCAGAUAUCGGGAGGAACACCUGUGGCGAAAGCGGCUCACUGGACCAUUACUGACGCUGAUGCACGAAAGCUAGGGGAGCAAACAGG